rnacentral:misc_RNA from 1 species
CUGAGUCAAGUCAGAGAAAAUAGACCCCUAUAAGAUAAGAGAAAGCCGCGCAACCAGAGUUCCCCAACCUUGUAUAGGUUGGGGGCGGAGCGCUAAGAAAGAGAAAGCGUUAUCACUAUACGAAAUGAAGCAGCAGCUAGCACGCUAAGAUCAACCACUUGGAGAACGUGGAGCCUUUCUUUCUCGGUCGUCUGUCUUAAUAGUUGUGGAUUCCGAUUCAUGCGGUCGUUCUCUACUGCAUUGGUCUUUUCACUCCCCACUCUCAACCAUAACAAAAUGUUUCCACUAUAUCUCUCAGGAGUAGUCAAAGGAAG